AAAUUGAAGAGUUUGAUCAUGGCUCAGAUUGAACGCUGGCGGCAGGCCUAACACAUGCAAGUCGAACGGUAACAGGAAACAGCUUGCUGUUUCGCUGACGAGUGGCGGACGGGUGAGUAAUGUCUGGGAAACUGCCUGAUGGAGGGGGAUAACUACUGGAAACGGUAGCUAAUACCGCAUAACGUCGCAAGACCAAAGAGGGGGACCUUCGGGCCUCUUGCCAUCGGAUGUGCCCAGAUGGGAUUAGCUAGUAGGUGGGGUAACGGCUCACCUAGGCGACGAUCCCUAGCUGGUCUGAGAGGAUGACCAGCCACACUGGAACUGAGACACGGUCCAGACUCCUACGGGAGGCAGCAGUGGGGAAUAUUGCACAAUGGGCGCAAGCCUGAUGCAGCCAUGCCGCGUGUAUGAAGAAGGCCUUCGGGUUGUAAAGUACUUUCAGCGGGGAGGAAGGGAGUAAAGUUAAUACCUUUGCUCAUUGACGUUACCCGCAGAAGAAGCACC
rnacentral:rRNA from 1 species